UACGGAGGGAGCUAGCGUUGUUCGGAAUUACUGGGCGUAAAGCGCACGUAGGCGGCUUUGUAAGUUAGAGGUGAAAGCCCGGGGCUCAACCCCGGAAUUGCCUUUAAGACUGCAUCGCUUGAAUCCGGGAGAGGUGAGUGGAAUUCCGAGUGUAGAGGUGAAAUGCGUAGAUAUCAAGAGGAACACCUGCGGCGAAGGCGGGUUGCUGGGCCGACACUGACGCUGAUGCGCGAAAGCUAGGGGAGCGAACGGG
rnacentral:rRNA from 1 species